rnacentral:tRNA from 1 species
GGGGUCAUAGCUCAGUUGGUAGAGCGCUUGAAUGGCAUUCAAGAGGUCCGGGGUUCGAUUCCCCGUGGCUCCACCA